rnacentral:rRNA from 1 species
CCUACGGGGAGCAGCAGUGGGGAAUAUUGGACAAUGGGCGAAAGCCUGAUCCAGCCAUGCCGCGUGUGUGAAGAAGGCCUUCGGGUUGUAAAGCACUUUCAGUGGGGAAGAAAGCCUUGGGGCUAAUACCCUCGAGGAAGGACAUCACCCACAGAAGAAGCACCGGCUAACUCCGUGCCAGUAGCCGCGGUAAUACGGAGGGUGCGAGCGUUAAUCGGAAUUACUGGGCGUAAAGCGCGCGUAGGCGGUCUGAUAAGCCGGUUGUGAAAGCCCCGGGCUCAACCUGGGAACGGCAUCCAGAACUGUCAGGCUAGAGUGCAGGAGAGGAAGGUAGAAUUCCCGGUGUAGCGGUGAAAUGCGUAGAGAUCGGGAGGAAUACCAGUGGCGAAGGCGGCCUUCUGGACUGACACUGACGCUGAGGUGCGAAAGCGUGGGUAGCAAACAGGAUUAGAUACCCGGGUAGUC